AACGAACGCUGGCGGCGUGCCUAACACAUGCAAGUCGUACGAGAAAUCCUGGGCAACCGGGAGAGUAAAGUGGCGCACGGGUGAGUAACGCGUGGGUAACCUACCCUUGAAUUGGGGAUAACUCCUCGAAAGGGGAGUUAAUACCGAAUAAUAUUCCAGUUCCCACGGGAGUUGGAAUCAAAGAUGGCCUCUGCAUGCAAACUAUCGUUUAAGGAUGGGCCCGCGUGCCAUUAGCUAGUUGGUAGGGUAAUGGCCUACCAAGGCAACGAUGGUUAGCUGGUCUGAGAGGAUGGCCAGCCACACUGGAACUGAGACACGGUCCAGACUCCUACGGGAGGCAGCAGUGGGGAAUCUUGCGCAAUGGGGGAAACCUUGACGCAGCAACGCCGCGUGGGUGAUGAAGGCCUUCGGGUCGUAAAGCCCUGUCAGGUGGGAAGAAACUUGCGGAUGCUAAUACCAUCCGCACUUGACGGUACCACCGGAGGAAGCACCGGCUAACUCCGUGCCAGCAGCCGCAGUAACAC
rnacentral:rRNA from 1 species